CCAUUAACAAGCACCGCUCUAGAAUGUCUGACCUAGCCGUACAAACGUCACCAUGGUUACCAUCAGGGGCAGGCAAGUCUCACCUUCCAGGAGCUCCUCCUCCUCUUUAGAAAACCACCUGUUUUACUUUAUGGGCAAUAGGUUCUUAGGAAAAGUAGGCUAUUUGGGGUCUAGAAUUUCAAUGUCUGCUACCAAAUGCUUUCCUUCCCUCUGAAUUUCUAGAAGAGCACCUUACCUUAUGAACUGGCAGCACCCAAACAGUAAAUACACUCACCCAGAUCCCCACCAGUCAGCCCCCCUCCCAGGCUCCUUGCACGGAUCUGAGAGGAUGGAGGAAUUCUCCCCUAAGCAGGUGUGAAAAGUUCUGCCCUGGCCAGCAUUCUUCUAGGGGAUGAGCAAUCGGAGACCAGUAAGGUGGACACCUCGGCCAAGGGUGGAGAGCGGUGCAGGAGAGCUGUUCAGCUGGCGUCUGACCUCAGGGUCAAGACUGAUCGUCCCCUGUGCCUUGCACAGAACUUCUUUAAGCAAGGUGUCACCAUAGCAACUGGGCAAUCUUGAGCUGCACCUUUCCACAGGAAGUUCCCAGUGCAGGCUCCUGGGAAGUCAGAGGUGCUGAGCCAAGUCACUGUUCCCCACAGACCAGUAUGGGUAAGUAACUGAGUGGGGGACAAAAUACCUUCAUGACUGUAGCUGGAGUCACUGAAUGGAUGGGGUGCUUAUCACUGAGACCAGGAAAUAUGGAUGAUAUCAAGGUUCAAAUGAGUCCCCUCAAAUUCAUGUGUGGAAAACGUAACACCCAAGGCAACAUGGUCGGACUUCUUACGGCUGGAUGCAGAACUACAGAAACAGAGCCCACCAGCCUUUCUCAGGCCCAGAAAGGGACUGUCACUUCUACAACCAUCUGCUGGGUAAGUGGAGGCUCAGAGCCAACCCAGACUCACCGUGGCAGUAGACUCACCAGAGCAUGAAUGCUGGCAGGUUUGGCUCUUUGAGCACCAUCUUUGCACAGUGACAGCCACAACCAUCAGUGCUAGAGAGGCUGCAGGGUGGGAUGGGAGUAAGAGCCCUGGAGUCAGAUUAAUGUGGUCUGAAAUUUUAUCUCUGUCACUUCCUGGCUCUGCAACCUGCAGCAAGUUACUUUAAUCCCAUGCCUCAUUUUUUCCCAAAGGUAAAAUUGUGGGGGAGAACACUAUCUGAUGGAGUUGGUAUGCAGAUUAAAUGGGACAUGAAGCUACAGGACAGUUUUAGCCAAGUGCCUGGCAUCAUAAAGGCAAGCUGUACCUUUGUGCUACAGUGCUCUUGCAGCCACCCGCUCACCAGGCACCAGCUCCUGUGUGAGAAAACGUAGAAAGAAGCCUCAAGGAAGAAAGAAGUCUUUUAAGUUUAUCUGUUUCAAAGACACUUUAUGCAACUCAUACAGUGUUUUUCCAAAAUGCAGCUGCUGGUGACAUUUUCCACAAUUUACUGGCUCUCCAGGCUGUGAAAGAAAUUAAUGAAAUCAUUAAAAGUCCCUCAGUUCUCACUGAGAGGUGAGGACAUCCUUGUCAUUGUAAGUGGAGGGAAACCCUCUCCAGCCUGGAGCAGAGGAAUUGGCUCAGUGUAGCUUUCCCUCCUGGAGCUCCUCUUCUUCCCAGCUCUGUUGCAGAGACCAAGCAAGUGGGUCCUGGGAGGGUUAGGGCUUGGCCCAGAGUUCAGCUUGGCCCCUGGGAGCCCUUGCUUGGAGUGUGGAACUUUCCAGUCAUGUAGUGUUGACUCCACCUGCAUGUUGGUGAUCCCUAGAUUUAUUUCUCCAGCUCAGAUCUCUUUGGAACUUAAUACAAAUAGGUCCUUCUGUCCACUAUGUCAAGAGCCAUUUCCAACUUUGCAUGGUCCAAGUCAGGCCCCUCUAUGAUCAGCAGCUCCUGCCAUGGGUCCAGUGAUCCUGGACUUCUGAUAUCCAUGCCUUUGUGUAUAUCAGGCACAUAGACACAACUCCCUCCCCUGGAGUGUGCACUUGUGAGUUGCUGUGAGUGAAGAGACGGUGUUGGCAGAACAUGUGAUAGAGUUGCUUCUAUAAUUUGAUUACCAAGAAUUGUGACUUACACCUUGCUAGUAUUCUCUGGUCCUUCUGAAGACGGCCAUCUGACAAGGAACAGAGGGUGCCCUCCACCUACCAGAGGGCUCCUGCCUCACUUGGACCCUUGUAUUAGUCAGGGUUCUCUAGAGGAACAGAAUUCACAGGAAGCAGAAUUAUAAAAAGGGGACUUAUUAAGUUGGUUUACUCAACUGGAAGUUGGAUAGUCCACAGUGGCCAUCUGCUGGCUGGAGAGCCGGAAGAACCAGUAGCUGCAUAGUUCAAGAGGCUAAAGCUCCAGAAUAAGAGGGAUCAAUGUUGCUACCCUAGUGUGAGACCGAAGGCCUCUGGAAAAUCACUGUCAAGUCUGAUAUCCUCAGAUGAUUGUAGCAGCAAACAAGAACACGUUCAAGAAGAAUCGAGUUUGCAUCUGCUGCUGCUUCCUUGUUCUUCCAACUUUUAUUCCAUCCAAGCCAUAAUCCUAUUGGAUGGUGCUGCCCAGGCUUAGGGAGGAUCUCCAUUUCAGUUGGCUAUCCCACAUGCCAAUCAUUCCUAGACACACCCUCAUGACAUCCCCAUAAGCCCCUUAAUCCUUGGCAUCUCUUAAUCCAAUCAAGUUGACAAUUCAAAUUAACCAUCACAACCCUGCAAUGACCAUCGUCCUGGUCACUACUAUCAGUCCAGCCUGUGAGAGACCCAAGGCCUGCACCUUGAUUGCAGUCACACAAGAGAUUUUCAAGUAAACUGUGCCAAAUUCUUGACUCACAGACACCAUGAGAUAAGAAAUGUAGAUUGUUUUAAGUCGCUGA